GCUAAACUCUGCAGGACACCGGCCCUCCAGGACUGAGUUUGGUGACCCCUGGUGUAGGAUGUCAUUGUGGAAUAAAAUGCAGAUGGCAGUAGUGCAGCAUCCGGGAUGCAGGCUGCCGUUAAAACCCAAAGAAGAAGAAGAAGAAUGAGGCGCCAAAUUUUGUACCUUUCCUUCGAGAACGGAGGGCGAUAAAUAGAGGAAUGAAUCAUGAAUCUUAAAGGCAAAGCAACCGCGGAUUCUAACGCCAGCAG